UCCUCCUUAACUCAGUGGUAGAGUUCUGUACUUAUGGGAAAACUUCAGCUUGUCUGAUCGAUUCGUCGACCGUUCGAGAUGCAGCUGCCGCCAGUUCAAUCCUGGCAGGAGGAA